UAGGGAAUCUUCCGCAAUGGACGAAAGUCUGACGGAGCAACGCCGCGUGAACGAAGAAGGCCUUCGGGUCGUAAAGUUCUGUUGUUAGGGAAGAACAAGUACCAGAGUAACUGCUGGUACCUUGACGGUACCUAACCAGAAAGCCACGGCUAACUACGUGCCAGCAGCCGCGGUAAU
rnacentral:rRNA from 1 species